rnacentral:rRNA from 1 species
CACGGGUGAGUAACACGUGGGUAACCUGCCUUUGAAUUUGGGAUAACUUCGCGAAAGCGUUGCUAAUACCAGAUAUUGUUACAUUAACUCCGGUUUUGUAAUGAAAGGUGACCUCUUCAUGAAAGUUGCCGUUCAAAGAGGGGCCCGCGUACCAUUAGCUAGUUGGUGGGGUAAUGGCCUACCAAGGCUACGAUGGUUAGCUGGUCUGAGAGGAUGAUCAGCCACACUGGAACUGAAACACGGUCCAGACUCCUACGGGAGGCAGCAGUGAGGAAUUUUGCGCAAUGGGGGAAACCCUGACGCAGCAACGCCGCGUGAGUGAAGAAGGCUCUCGGGUCGUAAAGCUCUGUCAGAUAGGAAAAAAGUUCAUUAGUAAAUAGCUUGUGAAUCUGAUGGUACUAUCAGAGGAAGCACCGGCUAACUCCGUGCCAGCAGCCGCGGUAAUACGGAGGGUGCAAGCGUUGUUCGGAAUUACUGGGCGUAAAGAGCGUGUAGGCGGUAUGGUAAGUCAGAUGUGAAAGCCCUGGGCUUAACCUAGGAAGUGCAUUUGAUACUGCCAUUCUUGAGUAUGGGAGAGGAGAGUAGAAUUCCCAGUGUAGAGGUGAAAUUCGUAGAUAUUGGGAGGAAUACCCGUGGCGAAGGCGACUCUCUGGACCAAUACUGACGCUGAGACGCGAAAGCGUGGGGAGCAAACAGGAUUAGAUACCCUGGUAGUCCACGCCGUAAACGAUGAGAACUAGGUGUAGCGGGUAUUGACCCCUGCUGUGCCGAAGUUAACGCAUUAAGUUCUCCGCCUGGGGA